AAGAAAGUGGCAGAACGGUAAUGUAAUCGGCUUGAAACCGGGCUACGGGGGUUCAACUCCCUCCUUUCUUG
rnacentral:tRNA from 1 species